rnacentral:snoRNA from 1 species
GUUCGGCAUGAUAACUAGGCGACGGCCUAUCUCUGCCCUACGGCCCCAGCCCUUUAAGUUGCCGAUAAAUUAAACACCAAUGCGAGGAUCUUACACGUUUUCGGAGUCUCCCUAUGAUGUCCAAUGUUUACUCUAUCGCAACAAAG